rnacentral:rRNA from 1 species
UCCCAGACUCCUACGGGAGGCAGCAGUAGGGAAUCUUUCACAAUGGGCGAAAGCCUGAUGGAGCAACGCCGCGUGCAGGAUGAAGGCCUUCGGGUUGUAAACUUCUUUUGUCAGGGACGAAGCAAGUGACGGUACCUGACGAAUAAGCCACGGCUAACUACGUGCCAGCAGCCGCGGUAAUACGUAGGUGGCAAGCGUUAUCCGGAUUUAUUGGGUGUAAAGGGCGUGUAGGCGGGAAUGCAAGUCAGAUGUGAAAACUAUGGGCUCAACCCAUAGCCUGCAUUUGAAACUGUAUUUCUUGAGUGCUGGAGAGGCAAUCGGAAUUCCGUGUGUAGCGGUGAAAUGCGUAGAUAUACGGAGGAACACCAGUGGCGAAGGCGGAUUGCUGGACAGUAACUGACGCUGAGGCGCGAAAGCGUGGGGAGCAAACAGGAUUAGAUACCCGUGUAGA